rnacentral:rRNA from 1 species
CGGGGACAUCGGAGUCUUUGACGCAAGUUGCGCCUGAAGCCUUAGGGCAGAGGGCACGCCUGCCUGGGCGUCA